UACAGAGGUCCCGAGCGUUGUUCGGAUUCACUGGGCGUAAAGGGUGCGUAGGUGGUGAGGAAAGUCGGAUGUGAAAUCUCCAAGCUCAACUUGGAAAUGGCAUUGGAAACUACCUUGCUGGAGGUUUGGAGGGGGGACUGGAAUACUUGGUGUAGCAGUGAAAUGCGUAGAUAUCAAGUGGAGCACCAGUGGCGAAGGCGAGUCCCUGGACAACACCUGACACUGAGGCACGAAAGCUAGGGGAGCAAACAGG
rnacentral:rRNA from 1 species